rnacentral:rRNA from 1 species
UACGUAGGUGGCAAGCGUUGUCCGGAUUUACUGGGCGUAAAGCGUGCGCAGGCGGUUAUGUAAGACAGUUGUGAAAUCCCCGGGCUCAACCUGGGAACUGCAUCUGUGACUGCAUAGCUAGAGUACGGUAGAGGGGGGAUGGAAUUCCGCGUGUAGCAGUGAAAUGCGUAGAGAUCGGGAGGAACAUCAGUUGCGAAGGCGGCUCUCUGGACCAGCACUGACACUGAGGCACGAAAGCGUGGGGAGCAAACAGG